rnacentral:tRNA from 1 species
GCCUGUGUGGCUCAGUUGGUUAAGCAUCUGACUUCAGUUCAGGUCAUGCUCUUACAGUUCAUGGGUUCAAGCCCCACAUCGGGCU